rnacentral:rRNA from 1 species
UAGGGAAUCUUCCACAAUGGGCGCAAGCCUGAUGGAGCAACACCGCGUGAGUGAAGAAGGGUUUCGGCUCGUAAAGCUCUGUUGUUAAAGAAGAACNCGUAUGAGAGUAACUGUUCAUACGUUGACGGUAUUUAACCAGAAAGUCACGGCUAACUACGUCNCG